GAUGAACGCUGGCGGCGUGCUUAACACAUGCAAGUCGAACGAAGCACCUUAUUCUGAUUUCUUCGGAAUGAAAAAUUUGGUGACUGAGUGGCGGACGGGUGAGUAACGCGUGGGUAACCUGCCUCAUACAGGGGGAUAACAGUUAGAAAUGGCUGCUAAUACCCCAUAAGACCACAGCACCGCAUGGUGCAGGGGUAAAAACUCCGGUGGUAUGAGAUGGACCCGCGUCUGAUUAGGUAGUUGGUGGGGUAACGGCCUACCAAGCCGACGAUCAGUAGCCGACCUGAGAGGGUGACCGGCCACAUUGGGACUGAGACACGGCCCAAACUCCUACGGGAGGCAGCAGUGGGGAAUAUUGCACAAUGGGGGAAACCCUGAUGCAGCGACGCCGCGUGAGCGAUGAAGUAUUUCGGUAUGUAAAGCUCUAUCAGCAGGGAAGAAAAUGACGGUACCUGACUAAGAAGCACCGGCUAAAUACGUGCCAGCAGCCGCGGUAAUACGUAUGGUGCAAGCGUUAUCCGGAUUUACUGGGUGUAAAGGGAGCGUAGACGGAGUGGCAAGUCUGAUGUGAAAACCCGGGGCUCAACCCCGGGACUGCAUUGGAAACUGUCAACCUGGAGUGCCGGAGAGGUAAGCGGAAUUCCUAGUGUAGCGGUGAAAUGCGUAGAUAUUAGGAGGAACACCAGUGGCGAAGGCGGCUUACUGGACGGUAACUGACGUUGAGGCUCGAAAGCGUGNGGAGCAAACAGG
rnacentral:rRNA from 1 species